CGGCGGCGCACGCCCCCCCCGGGAGCGCAGGGCAGGCCCGCCCGCACUGCCUCUCGCGAGAGCUGCGGCGCAGCAGCCGCGGGCGGAGCGGAGCUGAGCAGAGCGGCGCGGGGAGCGGGUGAGCUCACCCCGAGCGCAGCGCCGAGCCGAGUCUCCCGCCGCCGCCGCAACUUUGUUGGAUGAAACUCCUCCAUUGAAAUUGAUUUAGCAUUGAUUCUGUCAGAAGGAAUGGAAACCUCAAGAUUCAGAUGAACCCAGAAUUAACUAGAAGAACUGAUGAACAGAGUUGUGCUGUUGAAAUGAACACGACUACUACCAGAAGUGAGAAGUAUAAAAUUGCUUUUGCUUAUUACACAUUUAUCAAGAAUCUAGAUGACCAAACUUUUUGCUGGAGUUGCUUUCAGUUGUGGAGUACUCUGAUUUGGAAGCUGACAGAAGAAUGGAAAGAAGGUUGCAGCUUCUGCCAAUUUCUGUAUCCCUUCACUUCAAAAUGCCUGGUUAUGAGUAAAGUUGCAAUGCUGGAGAAAGCCGCUGCUUAUCUGUAA
rnacentral:lncRNA from 1 species